UUUUAUGGAGAGUUUGAUCCUGGCUCAGGAUGAACGCUGGCGGCGUGCCUAAUACAUGCAAGUCGAGCGAACGGACGAGAAGCUUGCUUCUCUGAUGUUAGCGGCGGACGGGUGAGUAACACGUGGAUAACCUACCUAUAAGACUGGGAUAACUUCGGGAAACCG
rnacentral:rRNA from 1 species